UGAGGAAUAUUGGACAAUGGGCGCAAGCCUGAUCCAGCAAUGCCGCGUGCAGGAUGAAGGCCUUCGGGUUGUAAACUGCUUUUGUACGGAGCGAAAAGGUCUGCCCUAAUACGUUGGGCUCAUGACGGUACCGUAAGAAUAAGCACCGGCUAACUACGUGCCAGCAGCCGCGGUAAUACGUAGGGUGCGAGCGUUAAUCGGAAUUACUGGGCGUAAAGCGUGCGCAGGCGGUUAUAUAAGACAGAUGUGAAAUCCCCGGGCUCAACCUGGGACCUGCAUUUGUGACUGUAUAGCUAGAGUACGGUAGAGGGGGAUGGAAUUCCGCGUGUAGCAGUGAAAUGCGUAGAUAUGCGGAGGAACACCGAUGGCGAAGGCAAUCCCCUGGACCUGUACUGACGCUCAUGCACGAAAGCGUGGGGAGCAAACA
rnacentral:rRNA from 1 species